GACGAACGCUGGCGGCGUGCUUAACACAUGCAAGUCGAACGAUGAAGCCUAGCUUGCUGGGUGGAUUAGUGGCGAACGGGUGAGUCACACGUGAGUAACCUGCACUGGACUCUGGGAAAACCCAGAGAAAUCGAAGCUAAUACCGGAUAGGACCUUUCCCCGCAUGGGGCUCGGUGGAAAGUUUUUCGGUUUGGGAUGGACUCGCGGCCUAUCAGCUUGUUGGUGAGGUGAUGGCUCACCAAGGCGUCGACGGGUAGCCGGCCAGAGAGGGUGACCGGCCACACUGGGACUGAGACACGGCACAGACUCCUACGGGAGGCAGCAGUGGGGAAUAUUGCACAAUGGGCGCAAGCCUGAUGCAGCAACGCCGCGUGCGGGAUGACGGCCUUCGGGUUGUAAACCGCUUUUAGUAAGGAAGAAGGGGCUUCGGCCUUGACGGUACUUGCAGAAAAAGGACCGGCUAACUACGUGCCAGCCGCCGCGGUAAUAC
rnacentral:rRNA from 1 species